rnacentral:rRNA from 1 species
GACGAACGCUGGCGGCGUGCCUAAUACACGCCAGUUGAGCGCUGAAGGUUGGUACUUGUACCAACUGGAUGAGCAGCGAACGGGUGAGUAACGCGUGGGGAAUCUGCCUUUGAGCGGGGGACAACAUUUGGAAACGAAUGCUAAUACCGCAUAAAAACUUUAAACACAAGUUUUAAGUUUGAAAGAUGCAAUUGCAUCACUCAAAGAUGAUCCCGCGUUGUAUUAGCUAGUUGGUGAGGUAAAGGCUCACCAAGGCGAUGAUACAUAGCCGACCUGAGAGGGUGAUCGGCCACAUUGGGACUGAGACACGGCCCAAACUCCUACGGGAGGCAGCAGUAGGGAAUCUUCGGCAAUGGACGAAAGUCUGACCGAGCAACGCCGCGUGAGUGAAGAAGGUUUUCGGAUCGUAAAACUCUGUUGGUAGAGAAGAACGUUGGUGAGAGUGGAAAGCUCAUCAAGUGACGGUAACUACCCAGAAAGGGACGGCUAACUACGUG